CUGAAUAUUGUGGUGCUGGUGAAAAUGUCUCACGCUCUCUUUAGCCUGCUGCAGUCUGAGCUGAUGAUUUUCUCGGCAGUGAUCCUGGUGGGAUAAUACAAGUCACAUACAUGGUUUUUAGUAAAACAUGAGAUGCAGUAAUGUUGGAAGCAUUGCAUUUUUGACUAACAUGUAAGGUGUUCAGUUUCCACUGAAGGUCAAUGAUAGGUCCUCCUCUACAGUCGUGUGACAAGGACUGCCACAGGUGGCAUCUGUUCCCAGCAGAGUGCUUUGAGAGAUGAAGUGUCUCAACCAUCUGUUUUAGUACAUUUAUUGAUUGAUUGAUUUUGGUGGGGGAGGAAAAUGCACACAUACCAUAGCACAGACAGAGGUCAAGGACAGCUAUCUGGACACACACACGUGCCAUAGCACACAGACAGAGGUCGAGGACAGCUAUCUGGACACACACACGUGCCAUAGCACACAGACAGAGGUCAAGGACAGCUAUCUGGACACACACGUGCCAUAGCACACAGACAGAGGUCAAGGACAGCUAUCUGGACACACACAUGCCAUAGCACACAGACAGAGGUCAAGGACAGCUAUCUGGACACACACAUGCCAUAGCACACAGACAGAGGUCAAGGACAGCUAUCUGGACACACACAUGCCAUAGCACACAGACAGGUCAAGGACAGCUUGCUGGAGUCAGUUUUCUCCUUCUAUCAUGUGGGUGGGUUCUGGUCAUCGUGCUCAGCAGAGUAGGCCUUUAUAGUGCAGCCAUCUCACAAAUGUUUAGACCCACUUCCCCAUGUUAUAGAUACUGAGUAUAUAUUUCCAAACUCAUCUACAAAAACAUAGCCCACCUAAAAAUACCUGGAAAAUGAUGUUACAAACUGUACUUCUCCCACUUAACCACUCCCCUAACCCUUCAUGUACAGGAAUGCAGCAAUAUUACCAUUCCCUGGGUGUGUUUUCAACCUCAGCUGCAGAGCCCGUUACUCCACGUUCACUGUGAAACCUGUGUCAUUAGUGUUACUGUCUUCCAACAGAUGAAAAUCUCAGCUGAAGAGAAACUGGAGGGAAGGACUGGAAGGUGGCUCAGUAGUCAAAAGUACUCAAACUCUUGCAGAAGAACGGAGUUCAGUUCCCAGCACCCACACUGGGCAGCUCACCAUGACCUGUAACUACAGCUCCAGGGAUCUGAUGCCUUUCUCUGGCCUCCACAGGCAUCUGCAUCCAUGUGCACAUAUACACAUGCAAACACACAUACACAAACAUAUAAAAAUAAAUCUUAAAAAAAAAGCUGUCAGGCGGUGGUGGCGCACGCCUUUAAUCCCAGCACUCGGGAGGCAGAGCCAGGUGGAUCUCUGUGAGUUUGAGGCCAGCCUGGUCUACAAAGUGAGUUCCAGGAUAGGCUUCAAAAACUACACAGAGAAACCCUGUCUUGAAAAACAAAAAAAACAAAAACAACAACAACAAAAAGCUGUCAAUUUGCCCUUGAAAGGUCAUGAGUGGCCAAGCUAUGAUUUCAACUGACAAUGGAAUUUGAAAGGGGACCUCAGCUUCCAUCCUGUUAGCCCAGUGGAAGCUAGGCUGCACAGAGGAAGGCCACCAUCUGCGGGGCAAGGGUCAAUGCUCCAGGUCAGUAUAAGACAAUGCUUCUCAACCUGUGGGUUGUGACCCUUCGGGGGUCAAAUGACCCCUUCACAGGGGUCACUUGACCCUUCACAGGGGUCACCUAAGAUCAUCCGAAAACAGAUAUUCACAUUAUGAUUCAUAACAGUAGCAAAACUACAAUUAUGAAGUAGCAAGGAAAAAAAUGUAUGGCUGGGGUCACCACACCAUGAGGAGCUGUCUUAAAGGGUCGCAGCAUUGGGAAGGUUGAGAAUCACUGGUAGAACAGCCCCUAGCCCAGAGACUACAGCUCUAGGGCACAGACCUGCGAAGAUCAGUCCAGGAAAUGACGUUUGGGUGAGGAGUAAGACCCUCAAAGGCUAGAAAGGAAGGCACAGCUGGGCACCUGCCUGACAUCCAAGCCACUGAGCAUGCUGAGGUCGGCAGGCAGCUCAGCAAGGCCUGCCCUCAAAGGAAAACCAGGCUGGGCGUGCGGGCUCCAGCUGACCGGCAGAGCACUUGCCUAAUAAACAAUCCCAAAUGCAAAAGAAAGGAAAAAAAUUAAAACUCCAAUAAUAAA